ensembl:lncRNA
GGUUGUCGUGGUAAAAGUGUAGUUGCCAAUCAGGGAUUUUUUUUAUAAGUUCAAAGAUGAAAAAACCUGGAAGGAGGAGAGAUGACUAGAAACGAUUUGGUUGGCUGUUUUAUGUGUGGAUUAAUUGUCGGAGUAGAAGACCUUGUGCAUUUCAGGGGAAACCCCUAACCAUCGUUCUCUUAGUGGGAGGGGCUUAUCAUCUGGGGAGCCUCAACAUCCUGUUGCUGACGAGACAGAGAAGAGUCUCUCCAGAUUAGAACACCCCAAGAAACACCAGCAGAG